UUCAAUACUGUUGCUUCGGCAACAGUGUGCACUUUUCUCUUAGUAAGACGUUGUGAUCCAUUAGGAAUCGAAUGCUUAUCUAAUAUUGAGCAUUCAAUAGGUUACCAAUAGGCCGGUAUUGAAGUUCUGGAUGGCAAACAGUGCGAUCUUAUAUAUGGUUGUUCAUAUUGCCUCUUGAGCAUAUCGUGUUCUGAUGUAACUGCCUGAUGGAUUUUAAAGGUCAUAUCAUUGAUGCUUGUCAUCACCCGACUUCGGUUGGGCAUAUAUGUGAGAUAUGUACCCGAUCAACAACGGUUUCAUUUGGGAUACCUUUGGGACCCGUCUUGAAACACGGACCAAGGAGUCUAUCUAGUAUGCGAGUAAAUGGGAUUUUGACACAAAAACCUAUUUGCGUAAAUAACUUAACUGUAAUUUAAUGGGAUUACGUGCACAUUUACCUUACGGUGUGUGUACCUCCAUCCCGGGGUAUUUUCAUAAUAUAGGUGGGCAACCACAUAUAGAAAAUAUACCAUGAGCAUACUGGACAUGACCCGAAAGAUGGUGAACUAUGCCUGAUCAGGUUGAAGUCAGGGGAAACCCUGAUGGAGGACCGAAGCAAUUCUGACGUGCAAAUCG
rnacentral:rRNA from 1 species